rnacentral:lncRNA from 1 species
AUUUUUAGCCAGAAUGAAGAUAUUAAUAUGCUCUUUUCAAAAAUAUAAUAAAAAGGAGGGGUCACCGUGCUAUUUUUCAAGCUAUGAGUCGUUAAAAAUUGCCUAAAUUUGGUUAGAUUGUUCAUGGAAAAACACAUUUGUGUGCAUAAAAAAAAAUCUAUGAGAUAGAAUUUUGAAAUAAAUUGUGAAAAGAUAGGUUUUGUAAUAUGUUUUAAGAAAAUAAAAAGAAAAAAUGGUGUCACCGAACUUGUUUUCUUGCUACAAGUAAAAAGAAAAAAAUUCCGUAUCUGUCCAGUAUAAUUUUUGUACUAAAAG